CAACCAGCACUGACUACAAUCAGUCAAUGUGUCCAUUCUUGUCUUUUUGCUCUCUCGGAGCACCGUGUCCACCAGAAUGAAUGGACUGACUUCCUGGGUUACCAAAGAAUCACUUCAGAAUUGACACUGUCAGGAAAACAGCCAUGUUCCAGCAAGAAGGCCAACUAAGCUCUCCUAUAACAUAAAGGGUUGGAAUUAGAGGAAUCACCAUUUCCCCCCGCCCUUACUCGGGGAGUCAUGGUUUCCUGUAGCACCAUACUGCAAGUAAUUUCCUACCUCCCUCUGAAAUUCUGUGCCUUCAAAUUUUGGAGGAAGCUGGCACAUAAGAGUGGCUAAGAUUGCCCCGUGAUGCCCUCUAUCUUCUGGUCCUCUCCUUCCAGAGUCUUUGUGCCA